rnacentral:tRNA from 1 species
CUCCCCGUAGCUCAGAUGGACAGAGCACCGCCCUCCUAAGGCGGGCGCCCCGGUUCGAGUCCGGGCGGGGAGACCA